rnacentral:tRNA from 1 species
UGGGCUGCGGAGCGCGCCUGCGUAAGCCGACGGCCGCGGACGGACCCGGGUUCAAAUCCCGGCGGCCCCACCA